AUGGUGUUGCUUGACAUUAGGGCUAUGUUGCAGUCCAUGGGUAAAGACAUUAUCGAUUUCACUCUUCUAACCAUUGAUGAUGUGUUUGACCCAACUGAGGGCGAGGCCAGAGAGAUCAUCGAGGAAUCAACCGUUGAGUUUGAUGAAAGUGACACUAAAUUUUCAUCUUCCUUGAAUUUGGAACAAAGGGCCGCAUACGACGAGAUACUAUUGGCUGUUGAACGAGGUGAUGGGGGUGUAUUCUUUAUAGAUGGCCCUAGAGGUAUAGGGAAGACCUUCCUCUACAGGGCGAUACUCGCAAAGGUGAGGGGCGAGGGCAAGAUUGCUAUCGCUACCGCGACGUCGGGCGUCGCUGCUUCUAUCAUGCCUGGCGGUAGGACUGCCCACUCGAGGUUCAAAAUCCCACUA
rnacentral:rRNA from 1 species